rnacentral:rRNA from 1 species
GUGCCAGCAGCCGCGGUAAUACGGAGGAUCCGAGCGUUAUCCGGAUUUAUUGGGUUUAAAGGGAGCGUAGGCGGAUGUUUAAGUCAGUUGUGAAAGUUUAAGGCUCAACCUUGAAAUUGCAGUUGAUACUGGACGUCUUGAGUGCAUUAAAUGUGGGCGGAAUUCGUUGUGUAGCGGUGAAAUACUUAGAUACCACGAAGAAGUCCAAUUACGAAGGCAGCUCACAGGACUGUAACUGACGCUGAUGCUAGAAAGUGUAGGUAUCAAACAGGAUUAGAUACGCUGGUAGUCCACACAGUAA